CGGCGGACGGGUGAGUAACACGUGGAUAACCUACCUAUAAGACUGGGAUAACUUCGGGAAACCGGAGCUAAUACCGGAUAAUAUAUUGAACCGCAUGGUUCAACAGUGAAAGACGGUUUUGCUGUCACUUAUAGAUGGAUCCGCGCCGCAUUAGCUAGUUGGUAAGGUAACGGCUUACCAAGGCAACGAUGCGUAGCCGACCUGAGAGGGUGAUCGGCCACACUGGAACUGAGACACGGUCCAG
rnacentral:rRNA from 1 species